rnacentral:rRNA from 1 species
UGCAGUCGAGCGGCAAGAUGGGAGCUUGGUCCCUGAUGUUGGCGAGUGACGGAUGAGUGACGAAUGGGUAACCUGCCUGUAAGACUGGGAUAACUCCGGGAAACCGGGGCUAAUACCGGAUGGUUGUUUGAACCGCAUGGUUCAAACAUACUACGGGGCUUCCGCUACCGAUUGCACAUGGACCCGAUUAGCUUUAUCUAGUUGGUGAGGUAACGGCUCACCACGGUCCCUAUGCGUACCCAACCUGAGAGGGUGAUCGGCCACACUGAGACUGAGACCCGACCCAUACUCCUACGGGAGGCGGCAAAAAGGAAUCUUCCGCAAUGGACCAAAGUCUGACGGACCAACGCCGCGUGAAUGAUGAAGGUUUUCGGAUCGCAAAGCUCUGUUGUUAAGGAACAACAAGUACCGUUCCAAUUGGGCUGACCCUUGAC